UACGGGGGGGGCAAGCGUUGUUCGGAAUUACUGGGCGUAAAGGGCUUGUAGGUGGCCAACUAAGUCAGACGUGAAAUCCCUCGGCUUAACCGGGGAACUGCGUCUGAUACUGGAUGGCUUGAGUAUGGGAGAGGGAUGUAGAAUUCCAGGUGUAGCGGUGAAAUGCGUAGAUAUCUGGAGGAAUACCGGUGGCGAAGGCGGCAUCCUGGACCAUUACUGACGCUGAAUCGCGAAAGCUAGGGGAGCAAACGGG
rnacentral:rRNA from 1 species